rnacentral:rRNA from 1 species
UGGGGAAUAUUGGACAAUGGGCGAAAGCCUGAUCCAGCCAUGCCGCGUGUGUGAAGAAGGCCCUUUGGUUGUAAAGCACUUUAAGUGGGGAGGAAAAGCUUAUGGUUAAUACCCAUAAGCCCUGACGUUACCCACAGAAUAAGCACCGGCUAACUCUGUGCCAGCAGCCGCGGUAAUACAGAGGGUGCAAGCGUUAAUCGGAAUUACUGGGCGUAAAGCGCGCGUAGGUGGUUAUUUAAGUCAGAUGUGAAAGCCCCGGGCUUAACCUGGGAACUGCAUCUGAUACUGGAUAACUAGAGUAGGUGAGAGGGGAGUAGAAUUCCAGGUGUAGCGGUGAAAUGCGUAGAGAUCUGGAGGAAUACCGAUGGCGAAGGCAGCUCCCUGGCAUCAUACUGACACUGGGGUGCGAAAGCGUGGGUAGCAAACAGGAUUAGAUACCCUGGUAGUCCACGCCGUAAACGAUGUCUACCAGUCGUUGGGUCUUUUAAAGACUUAGUGACGCAGUUAACGCAAUAAGUAGACCGCCUGGGGAGUACGGCCGCAAGGUUA